rnacentral:lncRNA from 1 species
UACUGGCCCGGUCUUGUACUUCCCUAGCUGAGGGCACGGACCUGGUCGUCUGGGCUCUGGAGAACUCAUCCACCCUGGCGGCCCAUGUGGCUGGAUCAGAGCUGUGCAUCGCUUGUGAUGCUGCACUGCCCAUGGAUGAGACCAGUAGCCAGCACCCCAUGGUGGAAGGAGCCAUCUGCAGAGGCUGUCGUGCAGCGCUUCUCGAGACCCUGUUUGCUAUUGCACCGGAUGGUACCAGUGCAUAUUGCUUCAUCUGUGGAAAUGGCCUGGAGC